AGACCUCUACAUGCUUUGUAAGUAGGAAAACCUGCCAAACCGGCAGUGUAUCAAAUACUUGUUCUCCCCACUGUGUGUGUGUGUGUGUGUAUAUAUAGAUCCUACAUUAUUUUUCAAAUGAAUAAUAAACUUAAUUUUGAAUUACUAGCCUAUUAUGUUGGUUGAAUGAAAUAUAAUUUGUUCAUAUUAUUUAUAUUUGAAUGUUCAUAUUAUUGAUGACAACUCCAGCUUGUUGUUUAAUGGUAGGAUAGGUUUGAAGGUCCUUAUAUUGCAAUGUUUCCUUGUUGCUGUUGGCAAGUUCCAUUGAUUACACACAGGAGAAUGUUUUUUAACCUGGCAACAUAAAACAGUUGGAACUGCCAGGUGUCAGAUGACAAGACUAUAUAUAGUAUGGCUGGCAAAUAAAAGUUCUUAGUCUCUGUUUUAGUCUUAUUUAGUCUCUUUCAUUAGACUAACAAAUUAGUCUAAUACAUAAUUGAAUUAAACAAAGUUUCAAUAAAAUAAUGGAUUGAUUGAUCGGGUAGUCUAGAUUUCAUACCAAGACAAUGAUUAUGAUGUUACUAUGCUUACAAUUAUCAAUACUCAUACCUUGUUUUUAAAUUCCCAUCACUGCCUCUUCACUUAUUUUACAUCUCUACCCAGGAGUUGUGACUAACCCAUUUGCUGCAUUUUGUAACCAUUAGAGAAAUGGUCGCUGAGCUACAUCUACACUGCCCUGUCAAACCAGUAGAAUUGCCUGAUAUCCGUGAAUUCACUGCCAUGAGUUUGAUGAAUAACAAACAGUGAUUACUAUGACAGUGUGUCAAAGAAGAAGAUUCCCAAACAGGAUUGGAUGAGGGAGAAGCUGCCAGCAGACUACUGGGGGAAAGGCACUCAGUCACGCUAGAGCAAGGAGCAGUUCAAAGUUAAUGUCGAUAUCCUGGUGGAGAGCAUGAGGCACAACAACACUUGUGAUGGACCGCACCUGCAUUUGUAUCACUAGAUAGUCUACUGUUGAUAUUUUACUAAAACUCCAAGAUAAUUGAUCAACUUCUAAGUACAAUGCAAAGACUGGAUUUGACCAUACCAUAGAUUGGGUCUGCUGGAUUGUUGGGAUACCCCCAUGGGUUAGGGUGCUAACUUCCUGAUCUGGUAACUCUUCCGAGAGGUCGCCAGUAAAAUAAGGGAGUAUGAACUACAUUUUGAAAUGGUUUCAACAGUAACAGUAUGUUGUUCUGCUCUUUGACAUUUGUCGUAGAGAUAAGGUUAUUAAGAAAAUUGUGAAUGUAAUAAUUUGUCAUAUAGUCAAUGCUUGUCUGGAUUUCCUGAAUCAGAAACUAAUUGAACUAAACUUUUGUUCUGAUCUGUCCUCUCUUGAGGUUAUCAUGGAAGGUGAUGUCAGAUUGUGUCUUAAUGCAUGGUAGGAAUAAUUUGACCACAAACAGUGUGUGUGAACCUCAAAAACCCUCCCUAACCGGCUGAAGAAAGAGCGACAAAGGCGUUCAAUGCGAUAGUAACAACACUCCAAUUUGAGUCCGAGCCACUAACCUGGGUACGGGCGGAAGGACUGUGCUAUGAGUCCUGAGACCGCGCAUGUGGAGUGAGCAUGGAGAGAUAACAUUCAAACUGGUGGGAGAAAUGGACCAGACAGAAUGGUGGUAGCGGCUCAGGUGGAAGCGGCACAUGAGGAGCAGGAGAUAACUGAGAGCACGGGCUGAAUUCUGGAGAUUGAGUGUACAUCAAGAUACACCAGGAGGGGGUGUUGGGACAGCGUUGGUCUGGUCCACACACAGUACUCCUUACAGCACCUGCAAUGGUAAAGAUCGUCUCUCCUCAGUGGGUUCACCCUUCUCACGUGAAGUGAGGUCCAGCUGCAUAAUGGGAACCAGAAGGAGAAAGUUGAAAUGGAAGAAGUCAACAGCUCCAGCGGACACAUUAUCAUCAGUGUUCUAGGAGAAAUGGAAAAAAGAUUGUGCUUGAUGCUGGUGAAUGGUAACAUGAACACCUACCCUCUGACUGGACUGACUCCCAACACUGAAUACAAGGUUGCCGUGUCCUCCACCUUCAGAGACAAGUUUGAAAGUGACGCCGUGACCAUCAAAUAGUCAACAGGUAAACUACAGGGUAUGUAGCUUAAUCUAACCAUUCUCAAAGACUUACACACCUACUGCAGACCUACAAUUACAAAGUCACAUUAACUUUGUAAUUGCACUUUUGAACAUAACAAGGCCAAUGUUGUUGAUUAUAGCUGAGUAUGUGUGGUGAUACUAUUAGGUAACGUUUAGGUGAAAAAAGACUGUGGGGUUUACCAAACAAUUGUACAAAAAGACUGUGGGGUUUACCAAAGAAUUGUACAAAAAGACUGUGGGGUUUACCAAACAAUUGUACAAAAAGACUGUGGGGUUUACCAAACAAUUGUACAAAAAGACUGUGGGGUUUACCAAACAAUUGUACAAAAAGACUGUGGGGUUUACCAAACAAUUAUACAAAAAGGCAGCAGGGUUUACCAAACAAUUAUACAAAAAGACUGUGGGGUUUACCAAACAAUUAUACAAAAAGACUGUGGGGUUUCCCAAACAAUUAUACAAAAAGGCAGCAGGGUUUACCAAACAAUUAUUAACCAUGAACCAUUUAGAAAUAACUCAUGUUUGUUUUCAUUGCAAAGGUUGCUUUUAUCCCUUAUCAUAACAUUAGUGGUACAUUAGUCAUAAACAGGGCCGACAGAGGAGUUACUGUAGUUCUGAUCCAGAACAGGUUUGUCAAGGAAGUAAAACACUGAAGAAUAACAAGCAUGCUGUUUGACACAAUGAACCUAGGUGUACUUCACAUACUUUCUAGGUGUACUCCACAUACUUUCAGCUUCAGUAUAAAGAUCGACAAGGAUAAGAUCCUCCUUCAAGAUCAAAACAACUUACUGAAAGAUUGUCGUGAUGUUCCUACACAAGCCACACACAGUAGUAGAAGAGCAUUAUUGUGACAGAAUACAAUGACUUUGGAAAAAGUACAUUGUUUUGUUUAGGUUCAAUGUUUGUUUUUGGUGCUGCUCUAUGGACAUUAUUGAAGACCGAACGCCCACAAUGAUGACGCCGUACCCAUUGAACCCAUUUAGUUUUGUUACAAUCACAUACUUCCUCGCUAACACACAGGCAUUGAUGGUUGUGCUAUUGUACACUUUUUAAAAGAUAUCCAUUACAUAGCGUUAAGUGUCCCUCUUUGCUAAGUGUCCCACUUAACUAAAACUCACCCUAAUGGGAUAUGGUUUAUCUAAUCUUGGGUGUAUAUUGCUAUAUCCAUUUUUUAAUCUUUUACCUCAACAGAAUGGUUUUCUUUCUAGUUAAGGGGAUUUGUGGCUACAUAAACACACUCAGAAAGAAAACAGUUGUAAGGCAUUUUGGGUUUGCCAAAGAUCAGUGGUUAAAGUAAGGCGGUAAGGUCCAGUAUGGCGUCCCGGCAAAAAUAAAUAGUGGGGGUACGCCAUACUUGUAAAACGUGAGCCUAUCACUAUCAAUACAACAUGCCCUCAAAAAUAUAGGCUAUCACACCAUUAUUUUACAUUACUGCAUGUCUGCCACAUGAAACAUCUUUGAAUUAACAGGGUGGUAUAUGCUCCAAAUUGUGUUGUGGUUUGAGGAGAACACUUACAUUUUGUCAAGGUGGAGAUGAGGGGCCGAGACCGAGGACCAUGUGGACAACAGUGGAUGCAUUAAUUCACACUACAAGUGUAGGCCUAAUGACAAUGGCAGAAUGUCAUUACAAUAUACGUGUCUCGUUCGUUAUAAGGAUCGGACCAAGACGCAGCGUGGUAUACGUACAUUGUUAUUUAUUUAAAGAAUGAACACUGAACAAACUGACAAAAUAACAAAAUUAACCGUGAUGCUAUACAAAUGAGUGCUGACAGGCAGGUAUUUGUCUAAGAGUAUUUCUCAUCCAUUUUCACGUAAUGCUGUUCAUUCAUGAUGUACAAUAAAGUGCAAACUCUUUGUGCAGUGCAGUUCAGUUCCAAUUCAAUUACAUUCACUUUAAUUGCUUCUGAUAAACAAUCUAUUAUUUCAGUUCAGGCAAAAUUAUGAUCCUUUGUUUGAUUGGAUUUAUUUGACCAUUUAAAAACACACUACAACCUCCCCUGGAUACAAUGCAUUUAAAACACACUACAACCUCCCCUGGAUACAAUGCAUUUAAAAACACACUACAACCUCCCCUGGAUACGAUGCAUUUAAAACACACUACAAUCUCCCCUGGAUACAAUGCAUUUAAAACACACUACAAUCUCCCCUGGAUACAAUGCAUUUAAAAACACACUACAACCUCCCCUGGAUACAAUGCAUUUAAAACACACUACAACCUCCCCUGGAUACAAUGCAUUUAAAACACACUACAAUCUCCCCUUGGAUACAAUGCAUUUAAAAACACACUACAACCUCCCCUGGAUACAAUGCAUUUAAAAACACUACAACCUCCCCCUGGAUACAAUGCAUUUAAAAACACACUACAACCUCCCCUGGAUACAAUGCAUUUAAACACACUACAACCUCCCCCUGGAUACAAUGCAUUUAAAACACACUACAACCUCCCCUGGAUACAAUGCAUUUAAAAACACACUACAACCUCCCCUGGAUACAAUGCAUUUAAAACACACUACAACCUCCCCUGGAUACAAUGCAUUUAAACACACUACAACCUCCCCUGGAUACAAUGCAUUUAAAAACACACUACAACCUCCCCUGGAUACAAUGCAUUUAAAAACACACUACAACCUCCCCCUGGAUACAAUGCAUUUAAACACACUACAACCUCCCCCUGGAUACAAUGCAUUUAAACACACUACAACCUCCCCCUGGAUACAAUGCAUUUAAACACACUACAACCUCCCCCUGGAUACAAUGCAUUUAAACACACUACAACCUCCCCCUGGAUACAAUGCAUUUAAAAACACACUACAACCUCCCCUGGAUACAAUGCAUUUAAAGUCAUAGAGGAUGACAUAAAAAAAAUGUAUUCAAAAGAAAAAAGCAUUUCCAUUGUGGCCCUUUU